rnacentral:lncRNA from 1 species
CCUGAGUAUAGUGGUGAUUAUUGGUUUAUUAUUAUUUGGUCAUUUUAUUGGAGGUUCGACGAGGAUUCCAAAAGUGCAGCAACUGUUGCAAGAUUUUUUGAAUGGGAAGGAGCUCUACAGGAGGGUUAAUCCGGACGAGGCUGCGAAUCCUCUGCUCUCUCGCUCUUUUACAAAUGAAAUCACUCAGGUCACGACCUCUACUUUUGGCCAAACCUUAAGAUGAAGAAGAAAGGUAAUCCGCUCUAUUUUAUUUUCUUCUUCUCCAGUGAAACGAGCCUCGAAACAGGUAUAAUUUUUUUUCCUUCUAUUGUCCUUUUUUGUUUCAGAUGUUUUCUAUAUCUUGAUGGAAUUUUUCGCGAGCUAAGAGGAAGAAGAAAGGUAAUCCCCUCUUCUUACACACGCACAAAUGCACGCUUCACCAAUUUCAUUUUCUUUUCCAGUAUAUUGAACCUCGAAAUAGGUAUAGUUCUUUCUUUCUAUUGACCUUCUUUUUUGCUUCAUUACUUCUCUUUUGUGUGUAGGGUUUAUCGAUUUUGCAAAUGAGGCAGAUGAGAGGGCCAAGGAAGCGGAUAUUCGGGUCCACGAAUUGGAGGAGCAGAAUAAGUUGCCUGAGGAUUCUCAUCUCUACGAGUACCGAUGCGAGAAACAGAUGGCAAAUUAAUUUCUUCACCAAAUUUUCUUAAUCUUUUUAACACUUAUGUUGUUCACCUCUUAUUGAUUGUAUGAUUAAUUGUGAAAUUACCUCUGUGGGAUUUGGAAAUUUAUUAAAAGCCAUAGGUUUUGUAGGGCUAACUAACCAAAUAAGUGAUUUUGGGUAAAGGGAAAAUAUGAAGAAAGCAAAUUGAUCUUACUGAGCCGUGUAUUAUAUAAUUCCCUUGUUUUUUUUUUCCUUGAGAGACUUGUUAAUUUAGAAAAAUGGAAACUUGGAUGAUGGUAAUACAUCCUGAAAAUCAAAGUUCUUUUCAAUGAUAGAAUAGUGUCACCCACUCAACUUUGGGCUGCAUGAGUUUCUAGGACAUUUUUGGAUAAAGUAUGAACUAAGUGGGCAUGAAAAUGGAAAAUGAAUAUUAGUAAUACUGGAAGGAGAUGAAGAUGAAAAUGGAAAAUGAAUAUUAGUAAUACUGUCUGAACUUUAUGAUCCUCUUCUCUAACAUCAAUCUUUACUGCUGAGGAAUUCUGUUAUUGCUGCCGGCCUAUUCUGAAUAUGUGACUUCUUUCUGUUUUAAAUUUGCUACUUUUAUGUCGUAACUUUGAACUUUGCUUCAGAAUCUUCUCUUCCAGUUAUAUUUUGCGGUUUAUGACUUUCUAGAUUGAUUAACAUAGAAAAUAGAUAAACUAUACAGUUAACAACUGGUUGAGGAUGUAAACGCUUGACAAUGGGAGAAUGUAGUUUCAAAAUCAAAGAAAAUCCUUUGGUAACAAUUUAUAUCUCAUUUGGCCUAAUAGAAGUUUCGUUUGUAGCCAUUUGAAAUCAUAAAUUACUUUGUAUUACAAGUAACGUUUCUUUAAUUUUUCUGUCAUUUUUUAAGUUUCAAGAUUCAUGUAAUGAAUUUUCUGUUUUCAUUGGAACAUGAGGGGAAAUUGUGAUUAAUUCAGAGUUAUGACAUGCGUGUGCAGGCCCAUUCGUUUGUUUACCUCCUGUGGGAAGUCUUGUGGUCUAUUUUCCUCAAGGUCAUAGUGAACAAGUACGUCCUUUCUCUCCUUUCUCUCUAUUUCGAGAAAUAUUGUAAAUUUUCACACGAUAUCUGAUAUGUACUUGUAUAUAUUCUAUUUGUAGGUGGCAGCAUUGAUUCAAAAGGAGGCUGAGAGCAUCCCAAGUUAUCCAAACCUUCCGUCGAAGUUGAUCUCCAUGCUCCAUAAUGUCAAUUUACAUGUAUGAACACUUCCAUAGUGCAACGGAAACUUUUAAACAUUUUUUUCUCCGUGUCGAAAUUUAUUUUCUUCUUGGGUUUUAUACUAGAUAAGUACUUGAUGAUCGUCAAUUUGAUCUACUAUGCAAUAAAUCAAUAUCAAUAAUGAUGUUCAAUUUGAUCUAUCUAUGCAGUAAGUCAACAUCAGCGAUAUUUAUCUUCAAUGGCUUUAGUUGUUAUUUGACUGGAUCAAUCUUAUGUUUCUUUAUCCUCUCCUCAGUAAGUUUUUUCCCCUGCCUUCCUUUUCAUGGUACUUCAAUUUGUGAUUUUUGGCUCUUUAAGAGAGAAUAUGGAUGGGAUCAUUUUACUGUAUUUCAAGAUUUUUAUGGUGAUGAGUUUCUGGUUCAUGCCCCAAUGUUCUCUCUUUUCACAUGUGAAAAAGGAUCUUGUUUUCUUGCUGUCGUUUUUGCUGUCUCACAUCUGCUUGCAGAGUCAACCACUUGAUGGUGGCUGUAUAUGUAGUUGUACAGGCAGCUGUUCCAUCUUUAAUGUUUGUGUUGUUUCCCAUUUCAGCAUCUUGUCAGUUAUUGCUUUGACAUGUAUGAUUCACAAUUUAUGUUUAAUGUGUGUGCACAUUAUAUUGUAUUUUCACAUGCCUAACAAAUGGGGGGGGAAAAAAAAGUGCUAGCAGAUUUUGACAAUACUGUGAGUUAAUUUGUUGUACUUUAUAGUUAGGAGUUGUUUCAAAAAGUUCUCCAUAAAAAGGUUUGUGGAUUUAGAUAAAAGAUGGUGAAAUGUGUCACAUGUGGUUGAAAAGUUGAUAAAAGUUGUGUGUUCCAUGAUAUUAUGGUUAAAAUCAAUUUUUUAGCAACAUUUUUUGCUUUCCUGAACAAGCACUUUGUAGAUAAGCAUUUACUAUCCCCUUACGUAUUAGACUGCAAAUAAUUCUCUUUCUUUCCUUUUCUUUUGUCCCGUCUGUAUUUGUUCCUUUUGGCAUAAUUAUUUUCGUUCAAUCAGUGCAAGCAAUAUGAGAAGGACCUAAUGGACAUGAUCGAUAGAGAAGUGGAUGGAAGUGAUAGUCUUGAGGGGAUUUGUUCUGUGCCAUUCAAUUGCUAGUGGUACAAGCUAAGGUUUCCAAAUCCUAUCACAUUGUGCAAAUUUUCUAUGUAAAUUCCAAAAUAUGAAUGUCUUGAUUCAUAUUUGAUUUUCAUAAGAAUAUGAAACUGGUUUUGUACUGUUCACGGAAGGACAGGUCAACUGCACUGUAGAGGCCCAAUUUAUUCUCUCUGCUUUCACUGUAUAUACUCAAUGUAUCUAUCUCUUCCUUUUCAUUUCUUCCCCCAUUUAGCCAUCCUUGUUGACUAUAUAAUAGUUAUUUGCUUUCCAUGUAGCCACCAUUCUUUCUAGCUACAGUGGUUCUGCAUUGUUCAUUAAAUGAUCGCCCUAACAAAGCGUCAUUUCUUCCAUCUCUAAACCCUCUUUUUUCUUUCCCGAAUUUCAAUCCCCAUUCCCAACACACUUUAAUUCCUCCUACAACGCUAAAAACCCUUCAAUUAAUUUCAUCUCUCCAGGAAUGAGCUGGCUGUACAAGCUUAGAUUUGGUGUUCUUAACUCCACCGACUCCAUGUGGAUUCCUCUUUCGAUUCUUCCAUAGCGCAUGGGACUAGACGAUCAUGUACUCGCUCUGAGCCAUCAGUUCGUGCAAUUCGAAGGAGGUAGAGAAUAUAGUAUUGGCUUCCUCCAUUGCAAUUUAUUGUUGAGUUUUUUUAAAACAGUAUUUAAUCGUAUCCCCAAGAAAAAUUUAUGAAUUUCAGUUCAGAAAUUUGAGAAAAAAUGUGAAGUUUAGGUUUGCUUUCAUCUUAAAUGUCUUAAAAGUUUGUUCUUAUUGGCAAAAAGUUUUAAAUUUCUGCAUUUAUUUAAUUAAGCUUGCUCAUUUUUAUCACCGGCAAAACUAAGAUUUCAGAUUUUGGGUGUGGUGUGGGGCUGAGCAACAUAGGGAAGCAGCAAUGCACAAAGGUCACUCAGAUUAAAAGGCUAAUUGCUAGAAACUGGUGAAUAUAAGCACAAGGAAGAUUUGGAAAUGCUUAUAAAUUUAGAGCUGGGGAAGUUAAAUUAUGUUGAGAACGAGUUCCGGAAUUAUGAAUAUAUUGUAAGAAAAAAUAAUAAAUGAGAUUGUAUAUAAAAUAAAAAGUGGAGCAAUUUGAUUGAAUUAUGCCACUAUGAGUUUUAAUUUUUGAUUUCUUUUAUUUUUUGAUUGUCAAAUUUGUCGACGAAUAAAUGAAACAUAGGAUUGAGUUGAGUAUGACGUGGAGAAAUGUGACUAGAGAGCUUGAAACAUUGACCUCUUGAAAAUUAACUUUUGAGAACGUGAAAACUUCCAACUAGAAAGUAGAAACUGCAUGAUCGGCUGAAUAAUUUGUAAAAAGAAGUGACAAACUGUAAUUUCUCUAUUUUGUGAUUUAUGUUUUCGUGAACAUUAUUGUAGCUAGAUGUUCCUUUAGUUUAUCAUUCACAUAUUGAAAUGAGAUAUUGCACAUGCUAGAAGAAAUAUGUAAUCCUCCUUCUGGUUCUUGGCAAAAUUUGAAGGUGAGUAGAAUUUUCUGAGUACGAACUUUGUUGUUGUUGUUUUUUUUUCUGGCAAUUAUAUUUAUCUUGUGAAAAACUGUUUCAGGAUUACAUGUGAAAAUCUAGGGAUGUUUUUUUUCUCAAGUUUCUUGUGAUGAUGAUGGUAAGUUAUUUUACUCAAUACAAUUUUUUUUACUAUAGAGAUGCUAAUGGCUCCGUGCAACCUUGUUAAUGGGGUUUAUAAACAUUUGUUACUAUAUUCAGGAACCUUUGGCAUAGUUAACUAUAGUAAUUGCUAAAACAUUAAUUAUGUUGUAAGUCACAGUUGUAUUCAUCUUCAAAAUGUUUGAGCUUCUGUGCAUCCAUGAAUUUUUCUAGUCAAUUUGGUAAUUUGUUGUCCUCUUGCUCAGAUCCGGAAAUUUGAUGAUCACGAUUUGAAGAAUCUUUCGACCAGAAUAAUAUCCGGGUAUUCUUUUAUAUUUUUUCUCUUCUUUGUCUGUUUUUCUUCUCUUUUAAGGGAUUAAAUUUUCAAAGAAUGUCGUUUCUUCUUUAUCAAAAAAAAAAAAAAAACCCAAAGCAAGCACUUGGAAUUCAGUUUCUAUUUCUAAUAUAGUGUUAGAAAUUACAUUUGUGCCUUUGUAACCUAUACAAUGCUCAAAUCUUGAACUUCUUACUUCUUAGAGGGAUUUAACUCUUACAGUAUCGUAAUUUUUACUACUAAAAUCUAAGAAUUCGUACAAUAAUAUCUUUACGAAAGUAACUAUCUUAUGAAAUAAUAAACUUUUUUCUUUGUAAAUCAAUAAAUUCAGGUAAAGGAAUACAAGCACAGCCCAUCAAGAAGGCCACGUAGGAGCCGCCGUAGAAUAUCGUAAUUCUUACUACUGAAAUCUAAGAAUUCGUACAAUAAUAUCUUUACGAAAGCAACUAUCUUAUGAAAUAAUAAACUUUUUUCUUUGUAAAUCGAUGAAUCACAAUCACGUAUAAUCAUCUGAAUAAUUCCGGUUGCUAUAGUAACUACUUUUAUGGUCCUUCAAUUUACAACCGCAAGAACUCUUUCGCUGAACAAGUUUUUCUUUUAUGUUAAUGAGACAGUAAAGUGUAUAACUAAAAGUUGUGUAGCAUAUGGAGGAGAAGAGUCUUUGCCUGUGAACGUCAGCUUCUUUAAUUUGCUAAACUUAUUAUGUAUUUUGUAGUAAGAAAAAUGACCUACUUGUCUCCUUAGGAAAUGGAGUUAAACUUUGUUAUAAUGCUUAUUAGCUGAAUUAUUAUUGAGCCAAACUUCUCUCAUUUGCGAAAUUAUUAUGUCUUUCAUAAUACAUUUUCAUUCCGUUUCCAGAACCUAUUUAAUCUAUUCAUUUUCAUUUGGGUAUAGUUCUAGGUAACAAAACAUAUCCCUUCAAAAUAGAAAUUCCAAUUUUUACUAUCUUCCUAUUUUUUCGGUGUUCAUUUGAUAAAGUAUAUUUGUUUGGUGAUUCUUGUUGUAGGUUCUUUCAAGUUUCCUCUUCAUUCUCUUAUCUACUGAACAAUACAAAUCUAAGGUGAGGAUUCCUUUUUUUUUUUUUUUUUUGGUAAAGUUUAUUUCUUCUACUUCUAAAAAAUUUACUUUCAAUUUCUUUUUACCGUUAGCUUUAGUUUUAAAAUUUUAAAAUUUUUAUUUUGUAUUCAUGAUUUUUUUAUUCCUACAACUGUUUCGUUAAGUUUGUUUCUUUUACUUUUAAAGGAAUUACUGUCAAAGACCUCAAGGUCCACAAUUCCUGGUCAUUUUGAAGCCUCCAAAUAUGUGAUUUGCAAUCAUGGGUGAAAUCUCUAGAAUACUCCAGGUGAGUUUCUAAUUAGGAUAGGCAUUUCUUCAUUGUGUUGAUCACAUCUAUUCUAAGCACUAAACUUUGUGCUGGUGGAAACUUUUCUAAAAUAGAUGAGUGAUGAAGAACAUGUCAUUUUGAAUUUUAAAUUUACUUGAAAAAAUUUGAAUACAUUGGUGGCUAAGGAUAUGUUUUACAGAUGCUUUCUUAAAAUAUGUUCACAACUCAUGAGUAUAGUGCAAACUCGUCAUGGCAUCGAUCAUAUCGAACUCUUCAGGUUCUUUAUAACUGAUAUUGUUUUUGAUGUAUCCACUGCUCCAUAUAUGAUGCAUGCUUUUGAAUUAAUUUUAGGUUGCGCUUGAAGAUGGAAUCAGUGUCUUGAGAUUGGAAUUAUCGAGAAGCUAAUUCCAAAUUUUCCUAUUUUGACGUCCCAGUUUUUAUGUUACUUAAAAAGUGUAUUAUUGUCUAACAUCUUAAGCUUUGAUGUGCUCUGGAGGAUGUUAUAAAAAAUUCAUAUGAGGAAGUUAGAUAUAAACCUUUAUGUUGUCUACUAAUUUUGUUGUACCGAAAGAUAGUUGAGCUACAUUGUAAUUUUGCUGAUGUCAGGCCAUUUAGUAGAUGCUUAAUUUUGAAUUAUUAUAACAAGACAAGUGCAGGUGUAAUGUAUAUGUGAGCACAUGUUUAAAACAGUUAAAAAUAGUUUAUCAUCUCAAGUUGUUCAAUUUUUUACCGUUCUUUUUGUGUACUGUCAAAGCCUAUGGCAGAUUUCACUUAUAUAAAAUCGCUUUUCAAGAUAUGUAGUGGAAAAUUGGUAAUUUCAAAUUUGUUAACUACAGUUAAGAGUUUGACACUGGUGUUUGA